UUACGGGUUGUUUAUGAAUACGGUGUUGUACAUGAUUAUUGUCAUGGGAAAACCAGGAAGGGAUACUAUAAUAUGCAUUGUGUAAAAAUAGAAACUUUCAGGAUAUAUUUAUGGUAAACAGGAUACACUAUAGUCUCAUAAUCAUAUGCUGGAAUUUGUGCCACUGCUGAAUCUGUCACAAUUGACGAUGGAAAAAAGUAUGUAUACGAGAUUACCGGUAAAUCGGCAUUAACCUAGAAAAGGAAUUAACUUUUUUAUAUGUAACACAAGACAAGAAAAAUAAAUAAAUUCACGAUGGCGAUGACAAAAGUGAAAGCACUGCAGUUAUGGUGUAAAAAGAUGGCGGAUGGCUAUCGGGAUGUGGAGGUUCGAGAUAUGGCAGCCUCGUGGAAGAGUGGACUGGCAUUCUGUGCUAUCAUACAUAGGUUCAGGCCAGAUUUGAUUGACUAUGACUCUUUGUCGAAGGAAAAUGUGUUUGACAACAAUCAGCUGGCUUUUGAGGUAGCAGAAAAGCAGUUGAAUAUCCCAGCAUUCCUUGAGGCAGCAGAUAUGGUAGCAAUAAGAGUUCCAGAUAAACUGAGCGUUGUUACAUACGUAUCACAGUAUUACAACUAUUUCCACGAUAAACCACAGUUGGGUGGACCUGGAGUGAACAAAUUUAACAAAUCUGCAAAGACAAAAGGCAACGUAACCCAACCAGUGAACAAGUCACUUACUCCUGCAAAAACAAAUCUUGGAAAUGCUCAGCUUAAGACAGAGAGACAGGAAUCUAUUGGAGAUAAGUGUACAAUUUGUCAUGAGAAAGUCUACCUCCUUGAACGACAUAUAGAAAACUCUAAACUAUACCAUAGGUCUUGCUUUAGAAAGAGCGAACUUUCACCCACCAGUAAAGUGUUCAAGAGACAGCCAUAUAGCCCUCUUGCUGAGGAAAAAAAUGAUUUAAUAAGUACGAAACAUAGAAAAAUCGACUCUGCUGGUGAUAAAAAUGUGCCGAAGGAAGAUGGUUUAGACUUUUGGCAAAGACGAGCUCAGCAGAAAGCUAAGGAAAGUGAAAGUAAAAGAACUAACGAGACACCUGUGGUAAAAACUGAAUCUAAACCUGAACCAAAAGUGACUACACAAGCUGUAAAUAGUGAUGUUCCAAUUUGGAAAAGGGGUUUAGAGAAGAAGGAUAAAUUAUUUGAUGGUGGUGGUGCUAAAGAGAAAGAAGAGCCAAAAAUCAAAACAGGUUUAGCAGAUAAAUUUAAAGAAUUAGAUCAACGGAAUUUGAAAAGUUUAAGUGAUACAGAUCAUGUGAAAAAUGUUGAUCAAAUUAAAGAAAGAGAUAAAAAGGAUAUAAGUGAUACAAAGAAGAAGUUUGAGAGUAAGCCUGUAGAUAAUAAAGUGGUGUCUCCAGUUGCAAAACCAAGGCAGAAUGUGCUAAAUAGAAUUGAAAAAAUGGAUACUGAUAAUAAUGAAUCUCAUGUACCAAAGCCAGUCCCAAGAUUUCAGAAAAAAGAUGAGAAGCUUUCGCCUAAAGCAGCUCCAAGAAAAAUUGAUCAUAAAUCAAAAUCUCCACCAACUACUAAAAAGAAUGACUUAACAAGGCCUAAAACUCCUCCAAAUAAACACAAAACUGAGUUUAGUUUAAAUUUAACAAACAAUGUAGGUAAAUCAGUAAGUGCACACAAGGUAGAUUCUCCAUCAUCUCCUCCACCUUUGCCAGCAAAUUCUCCACCAAGAUUGCCGAAAUCCUCUCCUCCAAAACAGCCCUUUUCAAACCAGUCUAUGGACUCUUCACCUGUUACAUCACCUAGAACAGCAAAUAAACAAAAUAAAGCAACUGAUAAAGAUAAACCAAUUAUAAAAUCAAAUAUACCCCCUUCAAAACCACCAAGAACUUUAGUUGAAGAAAAACCUAGAAGCCCAAGCCCGGUUCAUAAAGAUCGAAUAUCAAAAUUUGCAGAUAAAGGCAGAAGUACAAGUCCAAUGGAUACAAGUGAAAUGCAUGUAGCUCCAAAGGCUAAUAUAAAAGGACCUAAAACAGAAUAUACCGCUGCAAUAGUUGUUCCCAAUAGACCUCAAGAUGAGGAAAAGAAUAGAGAAGUAUUUGGUGGUCUGCUCAAGAGUUUGGCAGGUGUUAGGCAAAAGUACGAUGUUGAGAGUGAUAAUAAAGGUAAACUUACUGGUGCUAAUUCUGAUAAAGAAAACAAAAGUAUGGUUAAAAUAAAUGGUGCUAUACAUGAAGAACACGGGUUAAGACAGAAGUUGGAUAAAAUAAACGAGCCGGAGAUAAAGGACUUGAAUAAAGGUAGACAAGUGCCUCAGAGACCUAAGUCAUCAUUUGUGUCCCAGAGUUCAAGUUUGUUUGAUUCAGAAGGGAAAAGAGAAUCUAAUGUGAAAGUUGAUAUUACUAAGAAAACAACUACUAAAACUACGGUAGUAACUUACCAUAUGGGUGAUAAAACGAAAGGCGAAGAGACUAAGAGUGUUACGACUGCUACUAAAGUAGAAGAUGAUGUUCCUGAAUGGAAAAGAGCUUUAGAACAAAGAAAAAAAGAUCAGCAAAGACCUAAGUCUGCAGAUAUUCUGAGUGAAAAGUCGGAUAUUGGGAAUGUUCCACAAUGGAAGAUUGAGGCUGAUAAACGUAAAGAAGCGAGACAAGGUGGGUAUGUAGAUCCAGAAAAAGUAAAACGUGGCAGAGAUGAAAAUAGGAAUAACGCAGCACUAGAUCUGUCUCGAGCUUUAUCACCUGUUGGAAGGAAAAAAGAAGAUAUCUCAGAUAAGUAUGUGCCACCCAGUGCCGAACAGAAAAUAGAGUUACCACAAAGACAUAAGAUUGAAUACAAAGGUGAUAAAAUUGAUGAAAAUCAAAAGCUAGCUGAAGUUCAUAAAAAGAAAAUUACAGUUGAUCGUAAGUUUAAAUUUGAGGAUAUAGAAUUGAAACCAGCACCUAAGAAGCCACCAAGGCCAGCUACUCAGCCAUCGAGUCCAAAAUCUCCAACUAGUCAUGGGCCAGUCAGACCACCACCUCCAAAAACUGAAGGGUUUAAACCAGGCAGGCAUCACAUCUCGGCAUAUCAGAUACAGACACAGUUACAGCAGAUUGACAGGAAGCUGACGCAACUUGAGCUAAAGGGACGUACACUGGAGGACUCUAUUAGAAAUGGGCACAAGGAAAGAACAAAUAUAAGAAAAUCUGGUACUGACUUUCAUGAAAUGCUAAUGACGAGGAAGAAGAUGACCUGAUGAUUGCCUGGUUCCAACUCGUCAACGAGAAAAACGAUCUUGUCAGGACAGAGUGUGAUUAUAUCUAUGUUUCUCGUGAACAGGAACUCGAGUUGGAACAACAACAGAUUGAUCAACAGUUAAGGGAACUUGUAGACAAACCAG
rnacentral:misc_RNA from 1 species